GGAGGGGUGGCCGAGCGGUUGAAGGCACCAGUCUUGAAAACUGGCAUACCCUCACGGGUAUCGUGAGUUCGAAUCUCACCCCCUCCG
rnacentral:tRNA from 1 species